UUAAAACACCUGUUCUCUUCUGAUCACCGGAGUUAAGCAACUUCGAGCCUCUGUACCUAGAUGGGUGACCAAUUAGGAAUAGUAGUUACUGCU